rnacentral:piRNA from 1 species
UAAGGAAGCAUCGCCAAAUUGAAGAGG